rnacentral:lncRNA from 1 species
UAAUACAAAAAAAAGGUCAUUCAUGGUCGGCGACGGCGGUGCCAAAUCAGAUCUAAUAGACCAAAUAUAUUUUCUUUUAUUUUUUUUUCUUCAUCCCUUCUCUCUCCUCUCCUUUUAAAUCAAAUUCGAAGUUAUAAGUUGUUAACUUUUUUCCCUUUGAAUCUCUCUCUCUGUCUCUUGUGAUUCUUAUUAAUCAAUUCACGUAAUUGAAUCCGCAGGUUCCCUCGUCAUUAUAUCUUAAACAUCCGAUCAGAUCCUCAAAAUAAAAAGGUAGGAAUCAGCGUUCUAAUGGCGUCAACUCUGAUCUCGAACCCGAUAACGAACUCCGGCAGAGCACGUGAAUCAUUGAAAAAGAAGAAGAAGAAAAGCCAAAUUACAAGCUCGCGUUCUCGGCCGGCUAGUUCCCGGUUGCCGGAACAACCACUUCCGGUGGUAGAUCUAGAAUCCUCAUAAGAAUCCUCAUAUGUAUCUGUUUUGAAUGUUUUUGAUUUUUUUACUUUUAAUGUUGUCUUUUUUUUAAGAAAAAUACGUUUGAUUUUUUAAUUGAUUAAGAUUUGAUUUAUCUUGAUAAAUAAAUUUAAUUUAAUAAAAUAGAAAAUAUUUUAUUUUUAUUAGUUUUUAUUGUGUUUUAU